AUUGAACGCUGGCGGCAGGCCUAACACAUGCAAGUCGAGCGGAGCGGCGGACGGGUGAGUAAUGCCUAGGAAUCUGCCUGGUAGUGGGGGACAACGUCCGGAAACGGGCGCUAAUACCGCCUAAUAUCAGAUGAGCCUCGGUCGGAUUAGCUAGUUGGUGGGGUAAAGGCCUACAAAGGCGAAGAUCCGUAACUGGUCUGAGAGGAGGAUCAGUCACACUGGAACUGAGACACGGUCCAGACUCCUACGGACGGCAGCAGUGGGGAAUAUUGGACAAUGGGCGAAAGCCUGAUCCAGACAAGCCGCGUGUGUGAAGAAGGGCUUCGGAUUGUAAAGCACUUUAAGUUGUGAGGCGUUACCAACAGAAUAAGCACCGGCUAACUUCGUGCCAGCAGCCGCGGUAAUAC
rnacentral:rRNA from 1 species